AAUCCUGCCUUAAGAUGGCCACUGCAUUUGUUCACAUAUAUCGCGGCAGCUAGUACAGUUAAAUAAUGCACACUGCUGGCCAAUGUGGUAGCCUCUGUGAUGUGUUGGAUGUGACUGUACAGCCCCGGAAGCAGUGGCAUCAAUAUUGCCGGCUAUCCUGUGAUUUCAUUCACAGUUUAACACAACGAACUAACGAAAUGAAUUCGACACAGUGAGAAUGGAUUGAGGAGACGUGAGAGACCUGCUGUGCCAGGCCCAGAAAGGACACCGAAAAAUGGUUCUCGAGGAUAUCACAUGGCCAUGAUCUCUGCGAUGUUUGUGUAACCUCCAACCCAACGCAUAUCAGUUGAAGAAUAGAACAAAAGAUGGGUCCGAUGCAGUUAUUUCCUAUGCUGAGAUAAAGGAAAUACAGCCCCUCCAUCCUGUGACACACGUCCAACUGUAUCUCUGCAUGCCUCCAUCCAGACACAUCCUCUGUGGAAACUCGGUGUAGAUGUUUGUGUGUGUUGUACAGCUGUGGUUAUACAUUUAUAUACAUAUUCAGAUUUCAGGUAAAGUUAAGAUAAACACAAAAGGCACCGAUUUGCAGUUAAACUUAAUUUGACUUUAAUUUCAACUUUGUUUCAGUACGUUUUGAACAACUUGCUGUUCGCUAAGAAGAAGCUGAAAGGCAUACCGUAAUUCAUAACGGGUGUUUGAUCAAGUCCUUCCAUGUAUGUCUUUCUGUGACUCCUCCAGUCUCUUUGUAUCCCUGUCUAAUUUUUAUUUUUCACUAAUGAAGGGUUCGGUGAACGUACACAUGAACUGGUUGGGUUGGGUACCUCUAACAAGGUUAAGAACCACGGAUCUGAAUACUUAAUAAAACGCAUGCACGUAA